rnacentral:rRNA from 1 species
GGUAACAGGGGUAGCUUGCUACCCGCUGACGAGCGGCGGACGGGUGAGUAAUGCAUAGGAAUCUGCCCGAUAGUGGCGGAUAACCUGCGGAUACCCAGGCUAAUACCGCAUACGUCCUACGGGAGAAAGCGGGCUCCGGCUCCCGCUAUUGGAUGAGCCUAUGUCGGAUUAGCUAGUUGGUGAGGUAAUGGCUCACCAAGGCAACGAUCCGUAGCUGGUCUGAGAGGAUGAUCAGCCACAUCGGGACUGAGACACGGCCCGAACUCCUACGGGAGGCAGCAGUGGGGAAUAUUGGACAAUGGGCGAAAGCCUGAUCCAGCCAUGCCGCGUGUGUGAAGAAGGCCCUCGGGUUGUAUAGCACUAUCAGCGAGGAAGAACGCCUAGUGGUUAAUACCCAUUAGGAUAGACAUCACUCGCAGAAGAAGCACCGGCUAACUCCGUGCCAGCAGCCGCGGUAAUACGGAGGGUGCAAGCGUUAAUCGGAAUUACUGGGCGUAAAGCGCGCGUAGGUGGCUUGAUAAGCCGGUUGUGAAAGCCGCGCGCUCAACCUGCGAACGGCAUCCGGAACUGUCAAGCUAGAGUGCAGGAGAGGAAGGUAGAAUUCCCGGUGUAGCGGUGAAAUGCGUAGAGAUCGGGAGGAAUACCAGUGGCGAAGGCGGCCUUCUGGACUGACACUGACACUGAGGUGCGAAAGCGUGGGUAGCAAACAGGAUUAGAUACCCUGGUAGUCCACGCCGUAAACGAUGUCGACCAGCCGUUGGGUGCCUAGCGCACUAUGUGGCGAAGUUAACGCGAUAAGUCGACCGCCUGGGGAGUACGGCCGCAAGGUUAUAACUCAAAUGAAUUGACGGGGGCCCGCACAAGCGGUGGAGCAUGUGGUAUAAUUCGAUGCAACGCGAUGAACCUUACCUACUCUUGACAUCCUGCGUACUUGUGAGAGAUCACUUG